rnacentral:rRNA from 1 species
UGGGGAAUUUUGGACAAUGGGCGAAAGCCUGAUCCAGCAAUGCCGCGUGUGUGAAGAAGGCCUUCGGGUUGUAAAGCACUUUUGUCCGGAAAGAAAUCCUUGGCUCUAAUACAGUCGGGGGAUGACGGUACCGGAAGAAUAAGCACCGGCUAACUACGUGCCAGCAGCCGCGGUAAUACGUAGGGUGCAAGCGUUAAUCGGAAUUACUGGGCGUAAAGCGUGCGCAGGCGGUUUGCUAAGACCGAUGUGAAAUCCCCGGGCUCAACCUGGGAACUGCAUUGGUGACUGGCAGGCUAGAGUAUGGCAGAGGGGGGUAGAAUUCCACGUGUAGCAGUGAAAUGCGUAGAGAUGUGGAGGAAUACCGAUGGCGAAGGCAGCCCCCUGGGCCAAUACUGACGCUCAUGCACGAAAGCGUGGGGAGCAAACAGGAUUAGAUACCCUGGUAGUCCACGCCCUAAACGAUGUCAACUAGUUGUUGGGGAUUCAUUUCCUUAGUAACGUAGCUAACGCGUGAAGUUGACCGCCUGGGGAGUACGGUCGCAAGAUUAAAACUCAAAUGAAUUGACCGGGGUCAUAGCUGUUUCCU